AUGAACUUCUUCCUCUUUCCUUCUUUAUACAGACUAGUCUACAUGUGUUGUAGCUUGGUGUGACAGGUGCUGCUGCAACUGUCUCUGAAAUGAAAUUCGGAUAUAUGAAGACUUCAUUCGACACAAUGAAAUGUCACCCAGACCCUGAAGAGAAACCACUGGUGCAUUUUAGAGGGUGGCAGCCGUCAGGGAGCACCAUACAACGCUGUGGAAGAGUGCUAGAAACUGAGAGAAAUACCAUGUAAAAGCUUCUGCAAGAGCCUUGGAGGAUCAGCCACAUGGGAUGAGCAGGGACACAUACCCCAGCAUUCCUUCAAGGGGCACGGCAACCCAAAGCAAGUAUGUCAAAGCCCUGCCAGCUGGGGCUGCUGCCCAGCAAGGCGGGCAGAGGGCUGCGCAGGCAGUGGCAGCUGGCAGGAAAUCAGAGAAGCUAGAAAUAGCAGCAGGGAGGCUGAGAGAGAGGACCCAGGCACUGGAAGGAGCAGGUGAGAGACCACACUGAUAGCAGGUGGGAAGGCAGGACAGAAAGGAGAUGCUCUGAGACUGAAACAUCAUGCUGCAGCUCUGGGUUAUGUCAGAAGUAUGCUGGAGUUUUAUCUUUCGGUUUAGUUAGAUCGAAGAUAAUUCUUCACUGAAGUCAGCAUAGGCUCUGAUAACCCAGAUCUGAGGGUGUAAAUUGGCCUAAUCCAUCCUUUUGCCCCUCUGGGUAUCCCAGGGAGAUUGCAUCACAUAACUCUGGGAGGAUGUCUCUGAAUAGAAUUCAUCUGAGCUAAUGAUUUGUUCCAUGGGAAGGGUGGAAGAACUCCCACCUAUGGUGAACUGUGAGACAGCACUGGAAGAAUUUCAGCACUCAGAUGAGUCAAUUUUUUUCCUUGCUGCAAAUUAAGCAGUGAAAAUAGGAUCUAGCCUCUACUCAUAGGCAUGCCACUAAGCUCAGUCUUCAUGUGCAGAUCAGAGAGAAGUGGAAAGAGGUUCUGCAGAGGGGGUCAAGGUCAUUCUGCAACACAAACCCCAGUUCAGCUACACCCUGCAAGCACCACACACAUGCAUAUGAUUGCACUGGUAGAAAAAGAGGAUCUGUGUCACAGCUUUUUGCAGGGCUUUACAUAACAGCUUCUCAGCACAUCUGAGAAUAGCUAGAAGGAAUUGUUGAGGGAAGUAAUGGCAUGGAGACAGCCUGAGCUGCAACUCUUCGCUAUAGUUAACAGGGCAAAGAGAGCUCUAAAGUAUAUUAUGUCUCAACUAUUUCAUAAUUAUCUGUGCUUUGACUAAAAGACACUAUAUGAGAUCCAAAAGUUUUACCACCAAUAAAUUAACCGAGUGUGGUUGUUGGUGGUUGUGAAACCAACAGUGUGGAAUUUCUUCCGAAUGAAAUGUUAACAUGCACACAGAAACAGAGAGACACUUUUGAAGACACAGCUUGUUAAGUCUUUCUAAUAGUGCCACGGUUUGAAGUGGAGGUAAUUACAAAGAUGUUUAAAAGGGAUUUGUUUUUAAAAUGGCAGUCUGUAAUUGAUGCCUAGUGGAAAAGUCAGUGUGGAUAGCAUAAAACACACAGACUACAUAAACAAAUAAAAGAACAUAAGAAAGAAAGAGCUUUUAAAGAAUAGGAGAAAUAAGGGAAAGAAACAAAGAAAAGGAGGCAAAAAGGCAAGAAGAUGAAGAAAAGAAAGAUAUGUCAGUUCAGAACAGCAUGCCCAUUAAAGGAAAUGCAUUAAAAUCAUACAAGAAUAAUGUCAUGCAGACAGCAGUAAAUUACUUUUCAUUUGUGAUGGAGAUUACUGAAGUUGAUUUUUCAAUCUUGUCUUAUUUUUGAUUCACAAUUUAAAAAAUCAUCAUAGAAAGCUAGAGAUGAAAACCAGGCUAGUACUUAUGGCAAACAAAAACAUGCAUGAAAUAGCAAAUACUGUAAAAGCCCUUCAGAAAAUUCAGCCUGCCUUCAACAGGAUCUUCUCACUUCCUAAUCAGCAUCACUACACUUUCCCAGAAAACAUCCAACUCCCUUGUCUGGCUGCCUUAUUUACCUCAUUGUAAAGCCUAUGAACUCCUCAAUUUCUAAGCAUUUUCCAUAUUACAUGGGCAGCAGUCCCUCAGGAUAGAUUAAGCUGUGGAAGUCCUGGGCUAGAUGUGUCCUUAUCUAUAUUUCAAAGCAUUUAAAGAUACAAGUAUCACUUGCACUCUCAUCCCUCAUCAGUCUCAAUUGCACCUCAAUUUGUACUAGGCAGGAGAAUUACCACAUCACUUUCUCCAGCCAUAGGUCACCAGAGACAUGAAAAUGUUCUUAUAGACAGGGCAGAGUCGAGCAAGAAAUGUUACACUCCUCUUUAUGGAAGACUGAAUUUAAGCCAGCGCCAUUAAUUUGUUCCCUACUUUCAGUCAGUAUCUGGAUAUAGGCCCUGGGGAACUGACACUCCAGAAAUGCCAAGCUGACAGAAAAGGCAUAGUGUUAUUUCUCUAUAGACAGUGGAGACAAUCAUGCCUCUUUUAUUAACUGCAAAGCAUCUAAUUCUCAGUUACGUUAAGGACAAUUUACAACAGUUUAAUAUAGUAAAAUGGUAAUAAAAUGGGUGUAAAUUGCACUAAAGCUUUUUCUAAUGGCCCUUAUAUUGCCGUAGUGAUGUAGAGAGCCUUGAAUAUCACUGAGGCUGUGGAUUAGCACUCUCUUCCAGAUCUCACAGAAUUCCUUAAUUCCCUCGGGGCUUGUCCCCAUCCACCAGAUGGAGUUGCUAUCCUUCACACGUAUUGAGAAUUUCAGGUGAGCACUGUAUAAUUUGGACUGCCCAACAUUAGCCAGCUCUAGCUAAGAACUGAAACUAUUGAAGGCAGCCUUGUGAGUCUUGCCU